rnacentral:lncRNA from 1 species
CUCACUUACCUUGAUGGUUCUACAACAUUGCGGGUGUGGCUAAGGGGAUGCUAGGUUUGUGAAUGGCAUCCCUCAUAAGCAUUGCUGCAGAAAAAAGGUUGCAAUUGCUGCUUUACUGGCUGGAAUGACUUUCAAAGAGCAGAUUGGAUUUUUCAGUCUUGAAGGGUUUCUGCUAGUGACCAAGAGACUAAAUAAUUCUUCUUUUCUGAAAUGACUCUCUCUUGGUUAGCUUCGCAGGAUUUACAAGCAGCAGAAACUCAACAUGUCCAAACCUUUCUUAUGCCUCCAUGUUAUCCAGAUCAUUCAAGACUACCACCCUACUCUCAGCCAUUCAUGCUGCAAAUUUUGGGUUCCUCUUUGAGUUGUCCCUCUCCCUCCACAUUGGGCUUUCCUGCCUUCAUCUUGCCUUCAUCUUAUAAGCACCAUGUGGAUACAUUGAGCCGUCCCAGAUAACCCAGGACGACUUCCCCAUUACACCUUAACUUAAUCCAUCUGCCACGCCCCCUUUGCCAGGUAAAGUAACAUAUCCACAGGUUUGGGAUAUUAGGAGGUAGAUGUUUGGGGGGACCAGUGUUCAGCGUACCAUACUAACUGUGACCUCCCCCAAGAAGGGAGGUCUCUGAGACUCCGGUCCCUCAUCUGUAGAACGGUGGGU